CCGGACUCUAAUAUUCACACACUUUAGAAAACAUGCAAUUACUGAUCAUGAGGACUUUUUAAAGGUUAUAUUGAGGCCAAGGCAAAGGUAGGAAUUUUUUUUUGGAAUUGAUGGGUUUUUGAAAUUGAUAUAGAAAGAGUAAUGAAAUUUUAUUUCAAAAACAACCUUAUUUCUUGCUCUUUUUAGGAAGAUUUUUUUUUCUUUUUUUUUCAUCACUUUUUUUUUUUCAAAACUUCAGCUUUUCAUCUUCCUUUUUCCUUCCUUUUUUUUUUAUAUAUAUUUUGUGGUGAGACACUUACCCACACACUUAUUCAUCACUUACUUAUAACACAAUCCAUUACUCCUUCUUCUUUCCUCAGGUGAGGAACAUAUGAUUUUCCUUCAUUUUUUUAUUUGGCAAUUACUUGAAACAAGAAAGAUAGUCUCAAGGCUCAAAGGGGUUUCCAAUGGAUUAAUGUUAAGGUAAGUUUAUUUGGCNAAGUAGCUAAAACAAGAAAUGCCUCAAUCAUAUCAAAUCAUGCAUAUUCACCUCAGUUGCACAACACAGAAUCAAGCUAAAUAUUAGAGUAUCAUCAAAACAUGGGCAAAUCACUCAAGAAAAAUAGGUAUGGCACAUGAUAGUCCAUCCUUAUCAUUAGGCUCAAAACACACAUGGUUCAAAUUUCUUUCACAAAAGAUUUAAUUAGGAAAUUCUCAAGUCAACUCAAUUAGCAAAUCAUAAAAGCAAUCCAUUUAUAUUAACAUGACUCUUUUUUUUAUAUAUAUGAUCAUCCCAGUUACUGAUUCAAACUCUCAAAUCCAUUGCAAAUAUUUAUUAAAGAAAGAAAAGAAGAAAAGAAGAGAAAAAAAAANNNAANNNGGNANNNANNNAANUNNUUNCCCCACACCCCCACACUUAAACUAUGCAUAUUGUUCAAUGUAUGCCUUAUAUAUAGAAUGCACAGAAAAAGUAUGAGGGAACUUACCUCCUUCAUGGUGGAAGGAAUGCUAGUAGGACUUCAUCGGAAAAGUCAUCCUGGAUUGGAAUGUUAACUCUUCCCUUCUCAAUCCUACUAAGAUGGUCAACUACUAAAUUAUGUGCC
rnacentral:lncRNA from 1 species